GACGAACGCUGGCGGCGUGCUUAACACAUGCAAGUCGAACGGAAAGGCCCUGCUUUUGUGGGGUGCUCGAGUGGCGAACGGGGGAGUAACACGUGAGUAACCUGCCCUUGUCUGUGGGAGAACUUCAGGAAACUGGGGCGAAUACCGGAUAGGAGCUCCUGCAGCACGGGGGGGGUUGGAAAGUUUCGGCGGUUGGGGAUGGACUCGCGGCUUAUCAGCUGGUUGGGGGGGUAGUGGCUUACCAAGGCUUUGACGGGUAGCCGGCCUGAGAGGGUGACCGGCCACCUGGGGACUGCGAUACGGCCCAGUAUCCUACGGGAGGCAGCAGUGGGAAAUCUUGCGCAAUGGCGCGACGCCUGUUGCAGCAACGCCGCGUGCGGGAUGCCGUCCUUCGGGUUGUAAACCAAUUUCGCCUGUGCCGAAGCGUGAGUGACGGUACUGGGUAAGGAAGCCCCGGCUAACUACGUG
rnacentral:rRNA from 1 species